AUGAAUGUGACCAGUGUGUCGAAGUGAACCACCUACCCUGGGAUGGAGAAGACUCAGCAGGCUUGAUGUCAGAGGAUAUCUGAGACUUGGAGGCCUCUGUCACCUGAAAUUCGGAGGCCAGCAAAGGAAGGCUACUCUUUUCUGCUGUGACUGCCUGGAAAGCCAUCAAGCUGGGUUAAAAGUCAACACUGCUACCUCAGGCAAUGACAAGGACAGGCCUAGCAAGUUGCCUGGGAAUGAAUUCUACUCCUGUUGCUAAAACCUGUCACUGGACCUUGGUCCUCAAAGUGUCACAAGACAAAGAAGCCAUACUGUAGGUAUCAUUUGUUUGCUUUCAUCACAG
rnacentral:lncRNA from 1 species